UGGCUCUCGCAUCGAUGAAGAACGCAGCGAAAUGCGAUAAGUAAUGUGAAUUGCAGAAUUCAGUGAAUCAUCGAAUCUUUGAACGCACCUUGCGCUCCUUGGUAUUCCGAGGAGCAUGCCUGUUUGAGUGUCAUUAUUACUCUCAACCGCAUUAUCUUUCACGAGAUUAUGAGGCUUGGAAAUUGGAGGUUGCUGGCUUCUUCUAAAGUCGGCUUCUCUUAAAUGUAUUAGCAGAACCUUUGCUGUGUAUCUUUGGUAUGAUAAUUAUCUAUAUCAUUGACAUUCAGUGCCCCUUCAUUGGGAAGGCUUCGCUUCUAAUUGUCUUUCUUGGACAACAUUUGACAAUUUGACCCCAAAUCAGGUAGGACUACCCGCUGA
rnacentral:misc_RNA from 1 species